CAGAUGUAUACGUGGGAAUGACUACGUGAUCAGUUGUUCGUUUGACUCCUUAUAAUUGGAAGUCUGAAGAUGUUGUAAGUAUUGAUGGAGAAGGAAGUAUUAUAACAUCGGGAGUGGUAUGACAAGAUUUUCUAGCAGGUACUAAUGGGUUUUUAUUUCUUUUCCUAUUAAUAACUAUAUCAUCCUGUACUAUAGGCUGUUGCAAUUUUAUUUCAAUAUUUCCAUCCUGAUGUUCUAUUAUUUGAUUGGGAAUAUUAUUCACAGGUACUUCCCUGGGCUGGUUUGCAUUUUGUAAUGCUCAUGAUUGAGGUAAAAUAAUGUUGGACCAAGUAAUGGUUUUAGGUAUAAUAGUAUUUGAUUUUUCUAUAUUAGUUUGGAAUAAUAUAGUUUGAUCCUUCUUAUCUGUUUGCAUAAUAUUAGGACAUAGAGUAUUCAUUACUUUGUAAUAAAUUCUAUAUACUAUUGCUAAAUUUUGAGAACCAUGUGUCAUAUUAAAUCCAUGAGUUUUCAAAUUUAUAGUUAAUAUAUCUAAGAUAUUUGAGUCGGUUAAUGAAACAGAAAAAUUUGGAGAACAAUUAAAAUAAAUGGGUCACUACAUAGACUGGAUUCAACCAUGCCUAGGAGUGAGGCCGAAAACUUAUUGUGUCUUAUAUCUCUUAGGCAUACAAGCACUGAGGUGUUUAACCCUAGACGAGUUAAUGGUUUAAUGACUAUUUGUAUUAAUCUAAUGUGUAAAUACUUAUAAUUAUUUUCUUUAUGUUUUUCAAUAAUUUUUCUUGAUAAUAGUUGAAAGUCUUCUUGGUUUUGAGUUACUGAUAGACUUUCUUCUACUGUUUUUAUAGCAUAACCUAAUUUGAAUUUGAAUCUUCCUUUUUGAUAAAUAUAUUUUAUCGAUACUUUGGGAAUAUUCCAAUUUUGUAUAUGAUGUUCAAUAUCAUUUAUGAUGAUCUCUUCCUUAUUUUUAACUCUUAAGGUUUGAGAUUGAGUUGUUGUAUUACCUUUAAGAUUCCUAAUUAAAUUUGCCAUCUGUAGGUUGCGGAUAAUGACAAU
rnacentral:lncRNA from 1 species